CGACAGCAUAGAGAGCUUGCUCUCUGAUGGCGAGUGGCGAACGGGUGAGUAAUAUAUCGGAACGUGCCCAGUAAUGGGGAAUAACUAACUGAAAGGUUAGCUAAUACCGCAUACGACCUACGGGUGAAAGCAGGGGAUCUUAGGACCUUGCGUUAUUGGAGCGGCCGAUAUCUGAUUAGCUUGUUGGUGGGGUAAAAGCCUACCAAGGCAACGAUCAGUAGCUGGUCUGAGAGGACGAUCAGCCACACUGGAACUGAGACACGGUCCAGACUCCUACGGGAGGCAGCAGUGGGGAAUUUUGGACAAUGGGGGAAACCCUGAUCCAGCCAUCCCGCGUGAGUGAAGAAGGCCUUCGGGUUGUAAAGCUCUUUCGAAAGUGAAGAAAACUUAUUUCGUAAUAUGUUAUAAGUAUGACGGUAACUUUAGAAGAAGCACCGGCUAACUACGUGCCAGCAGCCGCGGUAAU
rnacentral:rRNA from 1 species